rnacentral:tRNA from 1 species
GAAAAAUAAGCUAACUUUAAGCUUUUGGGCUCAUAACUCAAAUAUAGAAAAUUUCUUUUUUCUAA